rnacentral:lncRNA from 1 species
CAGCCACGCACUGCCUUAGAGGCUGCCAUCCCUCUCCACAAGGACCCAAGUCGGCCAGGGAGGAGCCGCCACUGCCCAGCGUUGUUGGGGAAUCUGACAGUACAAGAUCUGGAAGAAGCCGGGUGCGGUGGCUCAUGCCUGUAAUCCCAGCACUUUGGGAGGCCGAGGCGGGCGGAUCAUGAGGUCAGGAGAUCGAGACCAUCCUGGCUAAUACGAUGAAAUCCCGUCUCUACUAAAAAUACAAAAAAUUAGCCAGGCGUGGUGACGGGCACCUGUAGUCCCAGCUAUUCCAGAGGCUGAGGCAGGAGAAUGGCGUGAACCUGGGAGGUGGAGGUUGCAGUGAGCCGAGAUCGCACCACUGCACUCCAGCCUGGGCGACAGAGCGAGACUGCAUCUCAAAAAAAAAAAAAAAAGAUCUGGAAGGAAUUGGCCGUCCAGAACCAUCUCCUCCAGCUCCCUCUUUGUGCAAUAGAGAAGACUGAGGCACAAGAAGGAGGGAUAGCUCACUCAAGCCUGCACGUUACACACAGGACUCGCUUAAGCUAUCAGCGGCUCUGUGAAGACCGGGACAGUUCCUUUCACAGAUGAGGAAAAAGAUACUCAGAAAGGGGAGGGAAAUUUCCCAAGACCACACAGUGAAGGGGCACCAUCAGACAUCUGAACCCAGGCUUUCCGGCCCUCUGAUCCAUGCUUUGUCCAGCAUACCAUGCUGCCUUGCUGCUUGUGGGGUUUUCUGGUCCUUGGAAUCUGAAACAUAUAAUAAACAGCAGCUGAGUAUUAUUCCGUACCCUAGAUUCUAGCCUAGACCCUAGAAGUUGAAGCAGCUCUCUGCUUUCCGUAUGCCAGUCAGCCUCCUAUUUCCUGAGUGGCGGACUUUCUCCCAGGGACAGAGGACCCAACCCAUACCACCACUCCUUAACACGCAGGCACAGAAUCUCCCAGGGACAGAGGACCCAACCCAUACCACCACUCCUUAACACGCAGGCACAGAAACACGCAGGGACCCCACUCAGUGUGUGGGUUCAGCUAAUGUUGGCGACUUGAGUCCUUUUUACACACAUGCACACUUCCAGAGCUUUUCCACUCCAUCCUUCACGUGUUCAGCUGCCACAGGGAAUGAGCUUGGGAAGAGGGCUGGAGUAGUCAUUCUCACCUCCAGGGCUAGUGCACACUCUCUGUGAAUGUAAUUAUCUGGAGUCCUAAGUGUAGGGCCAACAAUCAGGCCGCAUGUUUUCCUGAUCUACUUGGAAUGGGGGCAGUGCAAAGACAGGGCCACUUCCCCCUGAGAGGACGCCCACACGCAUGCGAAUACACACAAUGGUGGUUUUUUUCAUUUUCUUCUGUCUCUUCCCACAGAGAGGGGCCACUGGGCCACACCAGCAAAGGCAGGUGAGGGAGGGAGGAAAAGAGAUGCAGAAGGUGCUUCCCUCCCAGAAGCCUGGGCCAUUUAGAAAAUCCUUAGGCCGCCUCCUCAGUCCUCUUCUCCUCCCCACCUACCACCUGGCUUACAGUGCCCCACACCCAUCCCCAAACUUUUUUUAAAUCCCUGUUUCCUGCCUUGAGGAGACCUAGAUCCCCAUCCUGGGAGGGACUGGCAACAAUUAACAAAGGCACCAUGGAGUAAAGACAAUUAACAAUCCAGAAAAGAGGCGAAAGAGAGGCUUUGUUCUGGUCUCCAUGACAACAGCGGGGGGUGGGGGGGAGAUGAGGGAGGAGGAGGAAGAGAAGGGGCAUCCAGAGAGGCUGAUACUUUCACUUUCCUUUCAUCCCUCCCCUCUCCGCCCCUUUGGGUUUCUGCCAGGGAUCCCAAAGGGAACAGGGCUGGGACAGGCCAAGUCUGAAGGCUGGAGAUUAGAGGUGGGCAACUCCAAGAUUCAAGCCUUAGCUGAGGGCUCACUGGGGAGUUAAGACUAGACAGGAAGCCCUGGGGACUGAAUCAAAGGCAUUUGAGUGCUUCCUCCUCUUUUUCCAAAGGGCUUACCUUAUGCUAAGAACUGUACCCAAAGAUCAAGUCUCUGCCCUGGAUGGACACCUCACGGUCAAAAAGCUUGGUGGCUUCUGCAUCCCUUCUCAUCAGGACGUGGUGGAAAGUGAAGAAGUGAAGGCAGGACUGUCUACAUAGCUUGCAGGGUCCAGUACAAAAUGAAAUGUUCCAACAUUAGUCCAGGCGCGGUGGCUCACACCUGUAAUCUCAGCACUUUGGGAGGCUGAGACGGGUGGAUCGCUUGAGGCCAGGAGUUCAAGACUAGCUGGCCAACAUGGUGAAACCCCAUCUCUACUAAAAAUACAAAAAUUAGCCUGGCAUGGUGGCAUACACCUGUAGUCCCAGCAACUUGGGAGGCUGAGGCAGGAGAAUUGCUUGAACCCAAGAGGUGGAGAUCGUGCCACUGCACUCCAGCCUGGGUGACAGAGACCCAUGAGACCCUGAAAGAAACAGAGAAAGAGAAAGAAAGAAAGAGAGAGAGAGAGAGGAAGGAAGGAAGGAGAGAGAAAGAGAAAGAAAGAAAGAGAGAGAGAGAGAGGAAGGAAGGAAGGAGAAGAAAGAAAGAAAGAGAAAGAG